rnacentral:misc_RNA from 1 species
UCCUGCCCAGUGACAUAGUUCAACGGCCGCGGUAUCCUAACCGUGCAAAGGUAGCAUAAUCACUUGCCCAUUAAUUGUGGGCUAGAAUGAAAGGACCAACGAAAUAAAAUCUGUCUCUAUAAGUAAAAUAAAAAUUAUUCUCUAACUGAAGAGUGUUAGAUAAUAUCGAAGGACAAGAAGACCCUAUAGAGCUUAAUUUUAAUAAAGACUUAAUCUUACUAAAAAUUCGGUUGGGGCGACCAAGGAUGUACAAAUCAUCCCUAAACAAAAGAUACAUAAAUCUAAAAAUGACCCUUAACAAAGAUCAAGAGAACAAGCUACCUUAGGGAUAACAGGCUAAUCUCACUAAAGAGUCCUUAUCUACAGUGGGGGUUGGCACCUCGAUGUUGGCUUAGGGAAACUAUAGAGCGCAAAAGCCCUAUAAAGAUGGUUUGUUCAACCAAUAAAACCCUACAUGAGCUGAGUUCAGACCGGCGCAAGCCAGGUUAGUUUCUAUCCUCGAUUAAAAAUCUAUCUAUAGUACGAAAGGACCUAGAUACGAAUAAAUAUUAUACAAAAAGAAUAAAUAUAAACUUUAUUAAAUCUUUAUCACUAUAUUCUAUACAGUGAGUUGGCAGAAUAGUGCCACUGAUUUAGGAUCAGUAUAUGGGUGUUACCCACUUACUACAUGCGACUUAGUUUAUCUAGAAUAUUCAACUUGCACUUGACAGGAGAGAUUUCUCAGUAGCGGCCUGACGUUUUGGAAACACUAGACCUUGAACGUCUAUUAAAGAUGUUCAAAUCAUCUUCAGGCUCCAGACAAGGU